AAAGUCGUAACAAGGUUUCCGUAGGUGAACCUGCGGAAGGAUCAUUAUCACGUAUCCACGUUAUAAACCAAUUGUGAACUGUCAACAAACUUCAGGAUUGAGAUUGGCUGGAUAGACUCAUAGCUUAUUGUGUGAUUUUAAGCUACUAUCUACUUUGAGUGUUCUUUCGGGAUCAUUCAUAAAGCUGCUCUACCUCUGAAGUAUAAAUCACACUUUAAUUUAUUAACCACUUGAACCCUUUAAUAUUUCUUUGUUUGAACUGAUUUGUUUCUUACUCGCUUCGAAAGAAAUGAGAAGAAAUUAUAUUACGAAACAAAAAAGAACAACUCUUAGCAACGGAUAUCUUGGUUCUC
rnacentral:misc_RNA from 1 species